rnacentral:rRNA from 1 species
CCCCAGACUCCUACGGGAGGCAGCAGUGAGGAAUAUUGGUCAAUGGACGAGAGUCUGAACCAGCCAAGUAGCGUGAAGGAUGACUGCCCUAUGGGUUGUAAACUUCUUUUAUAAAGGAAUAAAACGAGGCACGUGUGCCUUUUUGCAUGUACUUUAUGAAUAAGGAUCGGCUAACUCCGUGCCAGCAGCCGCGGUAAUACGGAGGAUCCGAGCGUUAUCCGGAUUUAUUGGGUUUAAAGGGAGCGUAGAUGGGUUGUUAAGUCAGGGGUAAAAGCCGGGGGCCAAACCCGGGCGAGCCGUUGAAACUGGCUGUCUUGAGAUGUCGAGAGGUAUGCGGAAUGCGCAGUGUAGCGGUGAAAUGCUUAGAUAUUGCGCAGAACUCCGAUUGCGAAGGCAGCAUACCGGCGGCGAUCUGACGCUGAGGCACGAAAGCGUGGGUAUCGAACAGGAUUAGAUACCCGGGUA